AUCCAGCUGAUGAGUCCCGAAUGGGGCGAAACGCGCUUCCUGCAU
rnacentral:hammerhead_ribozyme from 1 species